UACAAACACCAAGUUCGUGCUGUUCAGCUCUUUCAACAUCCAAAUAACCUCAGCCAGAACUGAGCACCCAGGAUUCAAGGCGAAUAGUUUGACCAAUAACAACGGGGGCAUUGUUGCGAGAAUCUCCUCCUGCACGGAGCAUUUCAAGGACUUCACAAAGGAGCUCCGCUAUCCUUUGACUGAUGACAUUUCUGGGCCUUCAAUAUAUACCAAUGGGUCUAACGAGCUGUGGGACAGGUCAGUGCCACUCAAUCUUCUGCGGUCAAUCGCGGGUCAAAGAGCAGGUGGUGGUUGAUGGGCGGUGGGGGUGGCCAUUGGCUAAUUGGCGGCCGUAGUUCAUUAGUGUGCCAGUCACACGUUGAUUAGGCGGUUUGGAUUCGGAUGCGGUUGCAGUUUGGUGUCGCAACCAUAACAACAAUAACAAUCAGUUGAAAUUGAUGGGCUGGAAGCAGGAUGCAAAUGAAUGGCACAAAAGUGUCCUUUGACCCGUUGCAAUGCCUUUCAUUGGGGUAAUAUUUUCCCCGUGAAAUGCAAACAAGCCGCAGACAGCGAUGGACAUAACUGACAACAAUGGCGCCUAAUCUCGGUUUAAAACUUACCACAAAACUCCUGGUGAAAACGACACCGGACAAACCGAGUGCGAAACGAGCAAAGUCAGUGGAAAAGUCCCUGGGGAAGAGCUCAUUCAUCGGAGACAACGGGCAAACAAGAUGUGCUGGGCCCAUAAAUUAGCAUCACUUAAGUGGCCAGAUGAGAGUUCCUCUGGGGGGCGUGUAAUCCUUUCAACGAUUAAUUGCAACCCAACAUCGCCUGAAUCCAAAGAUCUCGUUGACUGGGGGUCUGGAAAUGUGAAUAUAAAUGGCUAAAUCAGACUGGGACGUACACAAAUGUCAUGUGGGACAGCUAAUGAUAUCUACAAAUCCCCAAACUCAAUCAAUUGUGGGGAGGAGAGACAAACUGGAGCUACACUGAGAAACAGAAAAGACAAAUGUAGUUUAGGACUUUGGAUUUAUAUCUUAAAUUAUUGGCAAAUAAAUUGCAAGAAAUCUUACCUCUUAGUUCUGUAAAUCACAUUCCACUGAAGCCUGAAUAAAUCGAAUAAAAAUAAAACCAAUAGAAUGAAAGAUUUU
ensembl:ncRNA lncRNA:CR43754 long non-coding RNA:CR43754